rnacentral:miRNA from 1 species
AAAUUGACUGUAGAGAGAGGUGU